CGCACGGGUGAGUAACACGUAUCCAACCUGCCGUCUACUCUUGGACAGCCUUCUGAAAGGAAGAUUAAUACAAGAUGGCAUCAUGAGUCCGCAUGUUCACAUGAUUAAAGGUAUUCCGGUAGACGAUGGGGAUGCGUUCCAUUAGUUUGUUGGCGGGGUAACGGCCCACCUAGUCUUCGAUGGAUAGGGGUUCUGAGAGGAAGGUCCCCCACAUUGGAACUGAGACACGGUCCAA
rnacentral:rRNA from 1 species